rnacentral:rRNA from 1 species
GAUUGCAGGCUGCAACCCGCCCUGCAUGAAGUCGGAAUUGCUAGUAAUCGCGGAUCAGCAUGCCGCGGUGAAUACGUUCCCGGGCCUUGUACACACCGCCCGUCACACCAUGGGAGCCGGUAAUACCCGAAGUCAGUAGUCCAACCACGUGAGGACGCUGCCGAAGGUAGGAUUGGCGACUGGGGUGAAGUCGUAACAAGGUAUC